rnacentral:Y_RNA from 1 species
GGCUGGUCCAAAGGUAGUGAGUUGUCACUUGAUUAUUCACAGUCAGUUACAGAUUAAACUCCUUGUUCUUCUACUCCCCCCACCCUACUACUGCACUUGACUAGUCUUUC